rnacentral:rRNA from 1 species
CCUACGGGCGGCAGCAGUCGAGAAUCAUUCACAAUGGGGGAAACCCUGAUGGUGCGACGCCGCGUGGGGGAAUGAAGGUCUUCGGAUUGUAAACCCCUGUCAUGUGGGAGCAAAUUAAAAAGAUAGUACCCCAAGAGGAAGAGACGGCUAACUCUGUGCCAGCAGCCGCGGUAAUACAGAGGUCUCAAGCGUUGUUCGGAAUCACUGGGCGUAAAGCGUGCGUAGGCUGUUUCGUAAGUCGUGUGUGAAAGGCGCGGGCUCAACCCGCGGACGGCACAUGAUACUGCGAGACUAGAGUAAUGGAGGGGGAACCGGAAUUCUCGGUGUAGCAGUGAAAUGCGUAGAUAUCGAGAGGAACACUCGUGGCGAAGGCGGGUUCCUGGACAUUAACUGACGCUGAGGCACGAAGGCCAGGGGAGCGAAAGGGAUUAGAUACCCUUGUAGUC